rnacentral:rRNA from 1 species
UACGUAGGGGGCGAGCGUUGUCCGGAUUUAUUGGGCGUAAAGAGCGUGUAGGCGGCCACAUAAGUCCUGCGUGAAAUCUUGCGGCUCAACCGCAAGCGGUCGUGGGAAACUGGGUGGCUAGAGUGCGGGAGAGGAGAGUGGAAUUCCUGGUGUAGCGGUGGAAUGCGCAGAUAUCAGGAAGAACACCCGUGGCGAAGGCGGCUCUCUGGAACGCAACUGACGCUGAGGAGCGAAAGUGUGGGGAGCGAACAGG